rnacentral:rRNA from 1 species
UGGGGAAUUUUGGACAAUGGGCGAAAGCCUGAUCCAGCAAUGCCGCGUGAGUGAAGAAGGCCUUCGGGUUGUAAAGCUCUUUUGUCAGGGAAGAAACGGUGAGAGCUAAUAUCUUUUGUUAAUGACGGUACCUGAAGAAUAAGCACCGGCUAACUACGUGCCAGCAGCCGCGGUAGUACGUAGGGUGCAAGUGUUAAUCGGAAUUACUGGGCGUAAAGCGUGCGCAGGCGGUUUUGUAAGUCUGAUGUGAAAUCCCCGGGCUCAACCUGGGAAUUGCAUUGGAGACUGCAAGGCUAGAAUCUGGCAGAGGGGGGUAGAAUCCCACGUGUAGCAGUGAAAUGCGUAGAUAUGUGGAGGAACACCGAUGGCGAAGGCAGCCCCCUGGGUCAAGAUUGACGCUCAUGUACGAAAGCGUGGGGAGCAAACAGGAUUAGAUACCCUGGUAGUCCACGCCCUAAACGAUGUCUACUAGUUGUCGGGUCUUAAUUGACUUGGUAACGCAGCUAACGCGUGAAGUGGACCGCCUGGGG